UACAGAGGUCUCAAGCGUUGUUCGGAUUCAUUGGGCGUAAAGGGUGCGUAGGUGGCGGGGUAAGUCUGGUGUGAAAUCUCGGGGCUCAACCCCGAAACUGCACUGGAUACUGCCUUGCUCGAGUACUGGAGAGGAGAUUGGAAUUUACGGUGUAGCAGUGAAAUGCGUAGAUAUCGUAAGGAAGACCAGUGGCGAAGGCGAAUCUCUGGACAGUUACUGACACUGAGGCACGAAGGCCAGGGGAGCAAACGGGG
rnacentral:rRNA from 1 species